GACGUAGGGGGCAAGCGUUGUUCGGAAUUAUUGGGCGUAAAGCGCUCGUAGGCGGGAUUGGAAGUCCGUGUUGAAAGACCUCGGCUCAACUGAGGGACCGGCUCGGAUACUCUAAUUCUUGAGGCAAUCAGAGGAUGAUGGAAUUCCCGGUGUAGCGGUGAAAUGCGCAGAUAUCAGGAGGAACACCGAUGGCGAAGGCAGGUCUCUGGGCCGAUACUGACGCUGAGGAGCGAAAGCGUGGGGAGCGAACAGG
rnacentral:rRNA from 1 species